rnacentral:rRNA from 1 species
GACGAACGCUGGCGGCGUGCCUAAUACAUGCAAGUCGAACGCAGUGGGGACGGGUGAGUAACACGUGGGUAACCUCCCAUCAGAGGGGAUAACACUUGGAAACAGGUGCUAAACCGAUACUGAUGGAUGGACCCGCGGUGCAUUAGCUAGUUGGUGAGGUAACGGCUCACCAAGGCCACGAUGCAUAGCCUACCUGCAAGGAUAAUCGCCCACACUGGGACUGCGACACGGCCCAGACUCCUACGUGAGGCAGCAGUAGGGAGUCUUCGGCAAUGGACGAAAGUCUGACCGAGCGACGCCACAAGAGUAAAGAAGGUUUACGGAUCGUAGAACUCUGUUGUUAGAGAAGCGGUAUCUAACCAGAAAGCCACGGCUAACUACGUGCCAGCCGCCGAGGUAGUUC